GUGCUGCUACUACUGGAUCAAGUGAUGUGACGUACACACAGAUUCAACUCAAAAACUGAUCCAACAGAAAAUCCAGUCUAUUCUGAGGUCAAGACGGGGAAGACCACAGCAGCAACUGGACUUGUUGAUGUGACCUAUGCUGAGGUUGACCUUAAACAGAAG